GCAAUGUGUCAAGGUGGUCUUGCUGUACGCUGCCUCACCCAAAGCAAAAAGAUGGCACAUCAUGUGGUGUCUUUGCUUUGAAACUUGAUUGCUUCUUUUAUUACUUUGUUCAUUUUCGGUUCUUUCAAGAAUUGAGGAAAGAAAUAGCUGUCACUCUUCUACAAAAGGGCUCAAUUACUGAAGGUGUGGAGGGCUCUUAUUUUUUUUAUUAUAAAUUAUUAUUAUCAGUAUUAUUAUUACGGUUUAUUAUUAUUAUUUAUCACAAUUUUGGGUGCUCAUCAAGCUGGACAACUUUCAACAGGAUUCAUGUGGCUG